CGUUUUAGGGUUUUCACGAUUAUGAUGAUUAAUUGUCCAUUUUAGGGUUUUCACGAUUAUGACGAUUAAUUGUCCAUUUUAGGGUUUUCACGAUUAUGACGAUUAAUUGUCCAUUUUGGGGUUUUCACGAUUAUGACGAUUAAUUGUUCGUUUUGGGGUUUUCACGAUUAUGACGAUUAAUUGUUAGUUUUGGGGUUUUCACAAUUAUGACGAUUAAUUGUCCAUUUUAGGGUUUUCACGAUUAUGACGAUUAAUUGUCCGUUUUAGUGUUUUCACGUUUAUGACGAUUAAUUGUCCGUUUUAGUGUUUUCACGAUUAUGACGAUUAAUUGUCCAUUUUAGGGUUUUCGCGUUUAUGACGAUUAAUUGUCCGUUUUAGGGUUUUCACGAUUAUGACGAUUAAUUGUCCAUUUUAGGGUUUUCACGAUUAUGACGAUUAAUUGUCCAUUUUAGGGUUUUCACGAUUAUGACGAUUAAUUGUCCGUUUUGAGGUUUUCACGAUUAUGACGAUUAAUUGUCCGUUUUAGUGUUUUCACGUUUAUGACGAUUAAUUGUCCGUUUUAGUGUUUUCACGAUUAUGACGAUUAAUUGUCCAUUUUAGGGUUUUCGCGUUUAUGACGAUUAAUUGUCCGUUUUAGGGUUUUCAUGAUUAUGACGAUUAAUUGUCCAUUUUAGGGUUUUCGCGUUUAUGACGAUUAAUUGUCCGUUUUAGGGUUUUCACGAUUAUGACGAUUAAUUGUCCAUUUUAGGGUUUUCACGAUUAUGACGAUUAAUUGUCCGUUUUAGGGUUUUCACGAUUAUGACGAUUAAUUGUCCAUUUUAGGGUUUUCACGAUUAUGACGAUUAAUUGUCCGUUUUGAGGUUUUCACGAUUAUGACAAUUAAUUGUUUGUUUUGGGGUUUUCACGAUUAUGACGAUUAAUUGUCCAUUUUGGGGUUUCCACGAUUAUGAUGAUUAAUUGUUUGUUUUGGGGUUUUCACGAUUAUGACGAUUAAUUGUCCAUUUUGGGGUUUCCACGAUUAUGAUGAUUAAUUGUUUGUUUUGGGGUUUUCACGAUUAUGACGAUGAAUUGUCCGUUUUGGGGUUUUCACGAUUAUGACGAUUAGUUGUCCAUUUUAGUGUUUUCACGAUUAUGACGAUUAAUUGUCCAUUUUAGGGUUUUCACGUUUAUGACGAUUAAUUGUCCGUUUUAGGGUUUUCACGAUUAUGACGAUUAAUUGUCCAUUUUAGGGUUUUCACGUUUAUGACGAUUAAUUGUCCAUUUUAGGGUUUUCACGAUUAUAACGAUUAACUGUUGUUAACCUUCCCUGAUCAAACAGAGGAUAACCAAAAAUUGUUGAUACACACUUUAAUUGUUGUUAACCUUCCCUGAUUAAACAGAGGAUAACCAAAACAUUUUUACACACACAUUGAGAAAAAGUUAUAUACAAUAAAAUAAAGAGAAUAAAAUAGAAUUAUUAAAAUGAAAAAGACAAAAGCAAAAUGAUUCAGUGAAAUCAAUAAGUGCAGCACAAUGCUCAGUCAGAAAAUGCAGGGGGCCUGCGUAGCUCAGUGGUAAAGAUGCUGGCUACCACCCCUGGAGUUCAUUAGUUCGCUAGUUCGAGUGACUCCAGCCAGGUCUCCUAAGCAACCAAAUUGGUCCCUUUGCUAGGGAGGGUAGAGUCACAUGGGGUAGCCUCCUCGUGGUCGCUAUAAUGUGGUUCGUUCUCGUGGGGCUUGUGGUGAGUUGAGCGCGGAUGCCGCGAUGAAUGGCAUGAAGCCUCCACACGCGCUACUUCUCCAUGGCAACGUGCUCAACAAACCAUGUGAUAAGAUGCGUGGGUUGACGAUCUCAGACGCGGAGGCAGCUGGGAUUCGUCCUCCACCACCCGGAUUGAGGUAAAUUACUACGCAACCACGAGGACUUAAAAAACACAUUGGGAAUUGGGCAUGCCAAAUUGGGAGGAAAAAAAAAUAAAAAAUGCACAGCUAAACAGAAGUGUUUUCAGGCUGGAUUUAAAUGUUUAAAUUUAAAAGUUGUAAUACUUUUGUCUUAGGUGUAUGUGUGCUUGCUUAAACCUUAAGAAUUCAUUUAUUCAUAUUUAGCUUUUACAUGAUUUCUAUUAAGGCUUUAAAAACUUAUGAAUGACAUUAAAAAUAAUAUUUUAAAUAUCAAAAUAUUUCAAGAUACUUUAAAUAUCUGUCUCUCUUUUUGGUCAACUUUAGACUUGGUCCAUUUUGCCUUUACACUGUUGUUGUUGGAACCCAGUUAACCUGAAUAGCUAUUAUAUUAUAUUAUGUUAUAUUAUUUUUUAAGUAUUCAGUAGUAAAAUAUUUCUAUCCAAAAUUCUUCACUUUCACAUGUUACUUUAAGGCUCUCCGAUUAAACCCACAGGCCCUUAUUACACAUGAAGAAAUAUCUUUUCAUUCUAUCAUCUCUUUAGAAAUAGAGUAAGCUGGAGUGACACGGGGCACCUCUGUCUCACUGCGUGUCAUUAACACUGUGUAUAUGAACCCACAACGACAAAUAACAUUUGUCAAUACACAGUCGUUACUUUAAAGUGAAACCAGAGCACUUUGCAUUCACUAAAAUAAUUGUUUCUAUUUUCACGGAAGUUUGACGUGAACCUCCGCUGACACCGUGUGCAUUACAGCGCUUUAAGUCCGGUUCAGAAGCGGUUAAUCUUUACACACUCACACUCACUGAGCACUUUAUUAUUAGGUACACACUUACUUAUUCAUGUGAUUAUCUAAUAUGGUUCAGGAGCUUCAGUUAAUGUUCACAUCAACCAUCAGAAUGGGGAAAAAAAUUGAUCUCAGUGAUUUGGACCAUGGCAUGAUUGUUGGUGCCAGAUAGGCUAGUUUGAGUAUUUCUGUAACUGCUGAUCUCCUAGGAUCUCCUGGGAAUGUUCUAUAAUAAACAAGUAAUUUGAUUCGUGAUAAACAAUCAAAAUUUGAUUCAUUGUAAUGCUACCAUUUUGGUAGCAUUAAAAACAAUUCCAUUCAAGUUGUAUCAGUUGUAACUCAAAACCAGCAUGAACUGAGAUGACUUAAGUGAAAAAUAUGAAUUUAUUCAUCAGACUUAUUCCUUGAACAUGUUAGUUUGGCAUUCCCCAAUGAAUUUUAUCCUGACUUCUGAAAAACAUCUCAAGUUGACUCUGACAUUGUCGAUGGGCACAGCACAUGAUGACAUAUAUUAUGCAAGUUCAAGUGCUGGACUUUGCUGCUUUAGGUUAGGUAGUGGUUAUUCUUCAAACAAAACAAAUCAUGCAUAUUCCUUUUAUUGAGUCUUUAUUAUAAAUAUGACGCGAAGACCUACUGAUUGUAGAUUUUAUAAAUAUCUGUUUGUUUAGUAUGUUGUUUUGACAUGAGUAUUGUAAGGUAGCUAGCAUGACUUGUAAUGUCUCUACAUAUCUCUUGCAUUGAAUGAUUGUAUUGAAUGCACAGCAGAAGAGAGAGUGGCGGUGAGAAAAAUGUAACGCAAAAGUAACGUAAUGCUUUACUUUCCAUAAAAAGUAACUUUUUUAUUAAUUUAGUUGCUUUUAAAAGUAACGUUACCCAACACUGAUUAUAAAUAUAAGAAUUCAGAUAAAUAAAAUGCAUUACAUUAUUGUGGCAGACAAGUAAAGCAUUAAUAAGACAAUAAUAAUACAAAAAGUGCCUUUAGAAGGUGAUACUGUGUUUAUUUUCAUGUCAUUGAACAUAAGCUUAUCAUUGGCCUACAGUCUUUAGCAAAACAAUUCGUCAGUCUGUCUGUGAUUUAUUUAUUUUAAGGGCUGUUCUAGAUUUAUUUUUAGGGCUUUUCUAAGGAUGCGUCAAUGUACACAUGCUUCAGACGGACACUUUUGGAGCAUCUCACUUUGGUUGUGCAGCAUCAUAAACACAGUGUUUUUAGUUAAGUUCAAAGUAGUUUAAAAUGUAGAAAAACAUGUCUCGAGAUCACUGCAUUCACAAUUGUGCUCUAUCCAACUGUGUUUAAAGGCAAGAAUGCAUCCUCAUCUUGUGCUGUCAAUAGUGUCAAGCAAGACAGAGCAUAAAGUGUGGUUUGUUGACUGCACAGCUGCAUGUGGCCUAUACAACUGGAGUUUCGCUUACUGGCCCCUGCUGAAAAAAAAAGUAGUACUUCAAGCUUAAAUUGCUCUGAUGGUAGGAAUAUUCCUUAUUAUAGUCCCGAGACAUGAUUAAUUGCAUAAUAAAAAUAAAAAUAUGUAUUAUUUAUUAUGUAAUUAAUUGCACUGAAUUAAUACGUUAAAUCAUCAGCCCUAAUUAUUAUGCCUUUUAGUGUGUGCAGUUGUUAGCUUAGCAACAUGCUAUCAUUUGGAAUCAAAAUCUAAUCCUGGAGUGGAUCUUCCGUAAACUUCACAUGAGGAGGGCAAUUUACAGUAUGUGAUGCGAACUGCUGCCUAUCUAGUUACAAAUCGAUCAUUUAUGAGGAUCCAUGUCAGUUAGGAUGCUGCCUUUGAAGCUGCCUGUUUAGACUGUAAGGCAGUUCACUAGGUUUUUGAACAGAGCCAGUGUUUACUUGAAAAUACAUCUCAAAAUGUUCAGUUUCUGGAAAAGAGUGAGGAGCUUAGUUGUAUAGCAAUAAGCUACUCGAGACAGUGUGUUACUGUGGUUUUACCAUGAUUUCCACUUUAUCUCAUCCUAAAGGCCACAUUUAACAAUGAUAAAGUCACUGUAAUUUCUCUUGUUGCGUAUUACUUUAUUUUACACUGUAGACAGCAAAAAAAAAAAAAACACUAACUGUAAAGAACAGAACAAAGCACUUCCUGUAAAUGCUCUUGAAGGAUCAUAACCUCUAAAACUGCACAGCAGGGUGCUUGCUCUCACAAGCUGUAUGAUAAUAGCAACCCAUAACUGAGCUUAUUGCUCAUUCAUCCAUGUACAGAUAUUAGUGAUAGCUGUUGUACAGGCAUGUCUGUAUGUGCAGAGUGGAGUGUGUUAGUGGCUAAUAGCUCCUGCUAACGUUCACCUUACAACCAGGGUUAACACAAAUGCUGUCAAAUCAAGUGUGAAUAUCCAUGGAUGAUAUUUAUGGAUUAAUUAAUUAGUGAUUGUGAACAGUGUGAAACUCAGUGCUCAGAUCAUCUUGAUAAUUUUAAAUUUAUGUAAAUGAAAUAGCACUUUAAUGCAUACUAAAGUGAUUUACAUUGCCUGCAGUGUGUCAAAAUCAUAUAUAAUUGUGAGUUGGAAGAUUGUAGGGUCAUCUGUGGCAUGCUUUGGAUUUUAGUUCAGCCCUUUUAAGUAAUAGUUAUAGCAGUGUCAAUUAGCAGGUGAAUUUAUUUUGCUUUAUUUAUAUGUUUUAUAUAUAUAUAAAAAAAAAAAAAAAAAAAAAACAAA